CACUGUACAAAAUAUUUAUUCUUUAAAAGAAUAGAAUUCAUUCAAAAAAUACAUACUUUAACUAUUUGGUGAAAAUAUGAUAAAGCAUAAGCAUUACCACUCAGUAACAUGUUUUUCCCAUAUUUUUUUGUUGCCAUUUUAGAACAUAAUACGAUGCAGCAAACCCUGUUUGGAAGUGCAAAUCACAAAACUAGUGCAAAUUUACAUUAGCAGAGGCAUGCUGAAAUAACACACACUUUGUGCCAAGACUGCUGAAAAACAUCUUUUAUAUCAAACAGUUGCUUUCAGAAAAAAAUACCUAAAUGUUCAAGAUAAAUUGUGACAUCAAGGAGCAUUAGAUAAGACAUAACCAUUCACCAACAUAACAGGUAGUAUUGCACAUUUAGAAACCUCCCGAGUAAAGUACAUAUUGUGCCUUCAGAAAGUAUUCAUACCCCUCAAAUUUUCUCCACAUUUUGUUGUGUUACAGCCUGAAUUUAAAAUGGAUUAAAUUGAGAUUGUGUCACAGAUCUACACACAAUACCCAUAACGUCAAUUUGGAAUUAUGUUUCAAUACAUUUAUACAAAUUAUUUGAAAAUGAAAAGCUGAAAUGUCGAGCCAAUAAGUAUUCAACCCUUUCGUUAUUGCAAACCUAAAUAGGGUCAGGAGUAAAAAUGUGCUUAACAAGUCAGAUAAUAAGUUGCAUGGACUUGCAAUAGUGUUCAACAUGAUUUUUAAAAUGACUACCCCAUCUCCGAGAGCUACUUUAACCAUAUCUACAUGUACAUUCUACAUCAAUUAGCCUGACUAACCGGUGCCUGUAUGUAGCCUCACUACUGUAUAUAGUCUGUCUUUUUACUGUUCUCUUAUUUCUUAACCUACCUAUUGUUCACCUAAUACCUUUUUUGCACUAUUGGUUAGAGCCUGUAAGUAAGCAUUUCACUGUAAGGUCUACUACACCUGUUGUAUUCAGCGCACAUGACAAAUACAUUUUGAUUUGAUUUCUGUACCCCACACAUACAGAUAAUUGUAAGGUUGCUCAGUCAAGCAAUUAAUUUGAAGCACAGAUUCAGCCACAAAGACCAGGGAGGUUUUCCAAUGGUUCGCAAAGGGCACCUAUUGGUAGAUGGGUAAAAAAGCAGACAUUGAAUAUCCCUUUGAUCAUGGUGCAGUUAUUACACUUUGGAUGGUGUAUCAAUACACCCAGUCACUACAAGUACAGUCACCCUUCUUUAAGGAAAGUAAGGAACCUGCUCAGGGAUUUCACCAUGAGGCCAAUGGUGAUUUUAAAACAGUGACAGAGUUUAAUGGCUGUGAAUAGAGAUAACUGAGGAUGGAUCAACAACAUUGUAGUUACUCCACAAUACUAACAUAAAUGACAAAGUGGAAAGAAGGUAGCCUGUACAGAAUAAACUAGGAAUAGAGCUAAGCACAGGCAAAAUCCUCCAGGAAAACUUGGUUCAGUCUGCUUUCCAACAGACACUGGGAGGCAAAUUCACCUUUCAGCAGGACAAUUACCUAAAACACAAGGCCAAAUAUACAUGGGAGUUGCUUACCAAAACAACAUUGAAUGUUCCUGAGUGGCUUUGUUACAGUUUUGACUUAAAUCGUCUUGAAAGUCUAUGGCAAGACUCAAAUGGCUGUACAGCAAUGAUCAAUAACCAACUUGACAGAGUUUGAAGAAUUUUUUAAAAGAAUAAUGUGCAAAUAUUGUACAAUCCAGGUGUGCAAAUCUCUUAGAAGCUUACCCAGAAACUCACAGGUGUAAUUGCUGCCAAAAGGUGAUUCUAACAUUCUAACAUGUAUUGACUCAGGGGGUUGAAUACUUAUGCAAAUUAGAUAUUUUAGUGUUUUAUUUUCCAGUAAUACAAUGUUAUUUGAUUUUUUUUGCCACUUUGACAGAGUAUUUUGUAUAGACCGUUAAUAUAAAUGACAAUUAAAUCCAUUCCACUUUGUAACAACAAAUGUGGAAAUGGUCAAGGUGUGUGAAUACUUUCUGAAGACUAUCUCCCGCAGAAACAGAAAUUCAGGCAAUAGAAACAGAAUAGAAAACACAUCACAAGUAUCAAAGUUAGGAAUUAUUUCAGUGUGUUUCAGUGUGCUUUCGAACUUGACAUCCAUUUAACCCCUACUACCAAGAGCUGCAUUCUGACUUGAGAUACACAAAGUCUAACACACAAAACCUAGUGUUGAAGGCAUUGUAAGAUUUGCCCCCAAGUUCAUUACAAACGCAGUAUCUGUUGAAAAUGUUCAACAAGGUAAGGAUUGGAAAACAGAUCAAUUUCAUUUGACCUCGCUAGUGUCAAACAUGGACAGGAAUGUUGAUAAAGUAUGCGUCCCAAAUUACACCCUAUUCCCUUUAUAUUGCCCUGGUCAAAAGUAAUGCACUAAAAAGGGAAUAAGGUGCCUUUUGGGACUAUGAAAAAAUCUCCUAAAAAGAUUAAUAGGUAGCAAUGUUUAUGUAACUCUUUCCAAGUCAAAAGAUUAUCCUCAGAUUUUAUGUUAAUGUUAUGGGUAGAGAGAAGAAAAACAAAGGGUACAUUGUCCAGCAAUGCCAGAUACAAAAUAACAUGUAAGGUCUACCAAUUCAGUAGUUUCACUGCGACUGUGCAAACAUGACCUGACAAGUAGCAUGCAGUACUGUUACUGUACAUAUACAUUAUCAGGUAUCCUUAAAGUUUUACUAUUAAAUGGAAUGUCGUUACUUUUUCAAUCAUGCUAGUAUCGUACUAAAGCUAGAUUAAAUUCAGUAAAUGUAUUACAUCUUUCAAGUUAAUAUUCCAUAUUCAUAAAAUGCAUUAAGGUGAGCCAGGAAAGGCACCAAAUCCUUCUUGAAGAUCAAAUGAAAUGUCCCUGUGAAGGCCAGUGAGACAGUGAAAACAUUAUGGUUUUAUACCCAUAAAUGGAAUUAUUCAAAUAUAUAGUAGCUAGCUCCUUGGCUGCCUGCUAUUGUGAUUACAAUCUUGCCAGCGUCUAAACUUAAGAGCAUAAAAACAACUAUAAUCGUCUUAAUCUACGAAUCACAUAGUUUGCCCGUUUAGAAUGCAAGAGGUCUGAUAUAUCUGAUAGUUCAGUGUACGCAAACAGUCUUGUGUGAUUAUCAGUCACUAAGAAACAGAGAGGUCAUUUGCCUUUUGUGCCGAACAGCAGGGGGGGGGGGUGUAAGUGCAACCUUGCAGGUCGUGCCAAACAAUGCGGAGGGAGAGAGAUUGGCUUUAGAGUAGUCUGUAGACAUGACUGGAAUUCCACACUGCCUGGCAACAACUCCCAAGAUUGACUCUACCCUUCUAUAUGUGUAACUGGAGAGUACAGGCCCAAGAACAUAAGACAUAAUAAAAAAAUGGAUGCAUGUAAGUCUCUUCGGAUAAAAGCGUCUGCUAAAUGGCAUACAUUAUCAAGAGGCGGACGGAGCGAGAGCAGUGAUCUCAGAGAAGAUUUGAUCCUUCGUAGCACAACAGUUCUGCAGCUCUUACGACAGAAUGCAAGAUUCAUUGGGGUUUUUGAUGCUCUUGGGUUCGUUGCCAUUUGACAGAUCUCCCUCAUCAUCUACUGGGGAGCCUUCAUCAUGGGGCAGCCUUGGCCCGUCACCCUCUUCCAGCUCGGGCAUGUCAGCGCAGGCAUCUUCAUAGGCGCUGAUGCUGUCUGUGUCAUUGUUCCUGUCGGGGGAGAGGUCACGCCCGUUCUCCUCCUGAUUUCUCCCGGGGGUCUGGCUACCGAGUGACAACGGCCCAAAGGUCUUGUUGACUAUCUUUGUGAACUUGGUGAAGCUGUCCUGUGCCCCAUCUGCUACGUCCUCAGAGGACACCAGCUGGGCAACGUGGAUAGGAGAGGGCUGGGUCAGACUGUCAGAAGGCUGCUCCCCCCUCCCCUUUUUGAAGAAGGAAGCGAGCAGCCCCCCAGUGCUGGUCUCAGAUGAUAGCCCAUUGUUGGGCCCGGGGCCCUCACUGUCCAAUCGGAUAAUAGAGAGAGGUGCAUCUUGGCGAGAAUUGUCCUCAUACCUUGGUGCAUCCCUGAUUUGUUCCUGUGCUCCCUUUUUGAUUUGCAUCUCUGUGGCUUGUUGUCUAGCCAUCUCAUCUUCCCUCUCCUGCUCCUUGACAAGUGUGUACACUGGGACUGCUGAUAUGGUGUUCCUCUCCUGUGGAACAGUAUGAUACAACAGCUAUAUUAAUCAUGUUCACAUCAGGGUUGUGUCCCAAAUGGCACCCUAUUCCAUAUAUGGUGUACUACCUUUGACCUGGCUCUGGUCAAAAGUAGUGCAAUAUAUAGGGAAUAGGGUGCCAUUUGGGACACACAACUGUACAGACCUAAGUACAGCAGGGAAACAGGAAGAACAUUUACAUUUUGAUUUUCAUACUGUACAACCAGAUAUAAAAUGUCAAGGCUAGAGGUGGGUGAUAUGAAAACCAGAUUCAACAAGUACAGUCAUAUAAUGCUGCUACUAUUACAAAUAUGAGUCCAAAUCUCUGUCAAAUUAAUUGUAUAGCCUCGUCUCUGGUAGAUCUUGUGCUACACUGUAUUAAUAUAUUCAUAGCUUGAUUUGCAUGGCUUGAGGCAUUGGCUGGGAAAUUAGCCAGGCCAAUUGUCACGUUACCGUUUCCUGAUUGCAAUAGGAAACAGGCAGCAUCUCCAUGUCUGUCAGUAAUUGGCCAGGGCAUCCUACUGCAGAGCAGAGCAAGCACUGGGUACAAGGCCAAGGCCAUUUGACGGGACACACACAACCUUCGGUCACACUGGAUUUACCCAACCACAAGUCCAUGCUGAUGAUCAGAUUACCAAAUUAUUACAACCAAUGUCUCUCAGUCAAUGCAAAAAUGUUUUUGUUAUAAUAUCUACUGAGGUUUCUUAAAGUGAGGAGGAUAUAUAAUAGAGGCAGCUAGGAUAUAUUGUUGAGCUCUUCUUAGGGCUUUAAAUUGCAAACAGGCAACUCCCUUCUAAUCUGCCUCAAGCCUCAGUAGCAGAUAAAUAGACUGUGAUAAGGAUGCGGGUUGAACCCUGAGGGAAAUUUGUCCAUCUUAUAUUGUGCUGUGUGCUGCUCUCUUUAGAUUAGAGUACAAAAUGUACUCCACAGGACUAUUGUCAACACGUAGCAAGUAUAAUUUUAUCAAACAUAUCUCAUUUUAUAGGCUUUGGGCCAGAACAAAUAUCUGUCAAUCAUUUAAAAUUGCCCUACUUUAGGAAUGAUAAUGUGCAUGCACACACACACACACAGAGUGAGAAUAACAGGUAUGGUGGGAGGUUGUCGCCCAGGCUGGAAUUUCCCAGCAGCUGAAACACUUCAUUCUGUCAAGUUCAGCAAAGCACAGUUGAGCUGAAAGAACAAGAGAACACUCCCCUGACAAACGAAAGAGUUACGCAACUAACCAGAGCUGGCAUGCAGCAACAAGCCAUUAGUCACUCUUUAUGCCCAAAACCAGGAAGCCUGCUGUACUUGUGUCUCUCUUUCUAUGAUUAUGUAAGCCCAUCCUCCUCAUCCCCCAUUACCUCUUUUAGCCUCUCCACCUCCUGCAUCAGAGAACUGACAAUGUCCUCCAACUUCCUCUUCGCCUCUCUCUCUCGCUCCACCUCCUACAAGUGCAGAGAGACACAUUAGCAGCGUCAGUCCAUUUAUGACCCUUUAGAUCAAUUCAGCAGAGGGUAGUGAAGUGUUUUAGAGCAGUGGUUCUUAAAACGGUGGGUUGGGACCCACAGUUGGGUCACAGGAAAUUGGACAUUCCUACUGGAGCAUUGCGUUGCUCCACGAGGACCAUUUUACAUGUACAGUGCCUUCGGAAAGUAUUCAGACCCCUUGACUUUUUCCGCACUUUGUUGUUACAGCCUUAUUCUAAAAUGUAUUAUAUAAAUACAAACCCUAGGCAAUCUACACACAAUACCCCAUAAUGACAAAGAAAAAACAUGUUUUUCUUCAAAUUUCUUAAAUUGAAUUACAAAUAAAAAACAGAAAUACCUUAUUUACAUAAGUAUUCAGACCCUUUGCUAUGAGACUCGAAAUUGAGGCGCAUCCUGUUUCCAUUGAUCAUUCUUGAGAUGUUUCUACAACUUGAUUGGAGUCCACCUGUGGUAAAUUAAAUUGAUUGGACAUGAUUUGGAAAGGCACACACCUGUCUAUAUAUAAGGUCCCACAGUUGACAGUGCAUGUCAGAGAAAAGAAAAACAAGCCAGGAGGUCGAAAUAAUUGUUCCGUAGAGCUCAGAGUCAGAACUGUGUCGAGGCACAGAUCUGGGGAAGGGUACCAAAAAAUGUUUGCUGCUUUGAAGGUCCCCAAGAACACAGUGGCCUCUAUCAUUCUUAAAUGGUAGAAGUUUGGAACCACCAAGACUCUAACCUAGAGCUGGCCGCCUGGCCAAACUGAGCAAUCGGGGGAGAAGGGCCUUAGUCAGGGAGGUAACCAAGAACCUGAUGGUCAAUCUGGCAGAGCUCUAGAGUUCCUCUGUGGAGAUGGGAGAACCUUUCAGAAGAACAACCAUUUUUGCAGCACUCCACCAAUCAGGCCUUUAUGGUAGAGUGGCCAGAUGGAAGCCACUCUUCAGUAAAAGGCACAUGACAGCCUGCUUGGAGUUUAACAAAGGCACCUAAAGACUCUCAAACAAUGAGAAACAAGAUUCUCUGGUCUGAUGAAACCAAGAUUGAACUCUAUGGCCUGAAUGCCAAGCGUCACGUCUGGAGGAAACCUGGCACCAUCCAUACGGUGAAGCAUGGAGGUGGCAGCAUCAUGCUGUGGGGAUAUUUUUCAGCGGCAGGGACUGGGAGACUAGUCAGGAUCGAGGGAAAGGUGAACGGGGCAAAAGUACAGAGAGAUCCUUGAUGAAAACCUGGUUCAGGACCUCAGACUGGGGCAAAGGUUCACAUUCCAACACGACAACGACCCUGAGCACCUAGCCAGGAUAACACAGGAGUGGCUUUGGGACAAGUCUCUGAAUGUCCUUGAGUGGCCCAGCCAGACCCCGGACUUGAACCCAAUCGAACAUCUUGUAGAGACCUAAAAAUAGCUGUGCAGCAACACUCCUCAUCCUACCUGGCAGAGCUUAUGAGGAUCUGCAGAGAAGAAUGGGAGAAACUCCUCAAAUACAGGUGUGCCAAGCUUGUGACAUCAUACCCAAGAAGACUUUAGCCUGUAAUGGCCGCAAAAAGGUGCUUCAACAAAGUACUGAGUAAAGGGUCUGAAUACUUAAACUACCGUUAAAAAGUUUGGGGUCACUUAGAAAUACCUUGUUUUUUAAGGAAAAGCACAUUUUUUGUUCAUUAAAAUAACAUGAAAUUCAGUGUAGACAUUGUUAAUGUUAGAAAUUACCAUUGUAGCUGGAAAUGGCAGAUUUUUAACGGAAUAUCUACAUAGGCAUUUGGAGGCCCAUUAUCAGCAACCAUCACUCCUGUGUUCCAAUUGCACGUUGUGUUAGCUAAUCCAAGUCAUUUUAAAUGGGUUCGAUUACAGAGUCAAAAUGGUCAGAAACUCGUCAGUCUAUUCUUGUCCUGAGAAAUUAAGUCUAUUCCAUGCGACAAAUUGCCAGGAAACUGAAGAUCUCUUAAGCUUUUCUUUAAAAAACAAGGACAUUUCUAUGUGAACCCAAACUUGUGAAUGGUAGUGUACGUAAAUGUGAUUUCAUAAUUAGUUUUUUUAUAAAAUGAGCAAAAAUGUAUUUAAAAAAACACUUUUUCCUUGUCAUUAUGGAGAAUUGUGCGUAGAUUGAUGAAGUAAAAAAACUAUUUUAUACAUUUUUGAAUAAGGUAACGUAACAAAAUGUGGAAAAAUACAAGGGGUCUGAAUACUUUCCGAAGGCACUGUAUAUUACAUGUACAUUCCAUUUUGGCAAUUUAUCCAGAGAAACAUAGUCAGUACAUUCUGCUAAAGGUUGGUAAGACAACAACAUAUCACAGUUACUGCAAGGAAAAACAUUCCUCAAUAAAUUUGUUUAUCAGCUAUUUUUAGAGUGAUGACCCCACCCUUAAGCCUCUCGGAAUGUGGCUUUAGCGGAUUCAUGGCUAGAAAGGAGUGAGUGCAUCCUAAAUGGCACCCUAUUCACUAUAUAGUGCACUCUCACUAUAGGCGCUGGUCAAAAGUAGUAAACUAUGUAGGGAACAGGGUGCCAUUUGGGAAGCAUCUAGUGUGUAUGACUAGGUGUACCAUGGUGGCGUGGCUGGCCUCUCUCUGGGCCUCAGCCAGCAUCUCCUCGGCCCCCUCCAGGGCGUCCUGCAGAACGUCCACCUGGAACAACAGAGUCUCCCGCUGCAGCUCCAGCCCACGCAGCUCCUGCAACACAUCGUCGUAGCUUGCCUGCAGGUCAUUCUGCAUGAGAGAUGUAUUCAUUAGUCAUCAGUGGGCAGCUUGAUUGAUGUAUACACAGGCAUAUCAGCUUCAUAUGGCUAAGAGAAAAAUUAUCUGUACCAAAUGGCAUCCUAUUCCCUUUAUAGUGUACUACUUUUGACAAAAGUGAAUAGGGUACCAUUUGGAUCUCAGACAAACAAUAUACAUUAGGCAUGACAGGGUGCAGCUUCCUCUAAUCACACUAGCAACAACGGUGAUUUAAUUAACAUGUGAUUUGCUCAUCAACUGUUGGAUAAUGAUGUCAUUGCUCUGAUAGCUAUUUCUGGCCCAUGGUCGUCCUUAUCUGCGUCAUACCAGGGUUGUCUUCUUCUUUAUAUGGCAGAGUUACUGGCAUUACAACACAUAAUCGAACUGGAGCAAAGUUAUUUCUAAUAUAUUUCUGGGCUAUUUGGUGUUAGCUUCAUAAAGAGUGUGCACCCUUUGAAUAUGCAGCACAGUCUGUGAGAAUGUCUAAUUUGACAUCCAGUAGAACUGGUUAUACUGCUAAAAUAUGAAAACGUUAUCCUGCAAAACAUAAUUAAAACAGCUUGUGCGGAUAAUCACCAUCUCAGGGAGUUCCAUCAGUUCCUGAUCUUCCACAGACUGCUGAAAUGACCAAGAAAAAGGUAAACAAGACUCAUCAACAAGUAAUAUAUGAGAAGUUUGAGUAUACUCCGUACAUUUAAUAACAGUGAUAGAAUCAGAAGUAAUCAUGUUUAAAUGACAGACCAUAGUAGGCCAGUGUCCGAAAUGGCACCCUAUUCCCUAUAUAGUGCACUACUUUUGACCAGAGCCCUAUGGGGAAUAGGGUGGCAUUUGGGCCGCAAACCUAAUUAUGCCAGUAACUUCAGGCCAUUUCCAUGUAAAAGGAUCCAUGAAGUGAAGUUAUCCAGAGAAGUUCAUAGGAGCACAUCAAAUUUAGUGUCAAAUGAAAGCUACCCAGUGUUCUAAGGCACUGUAUCUCGGCGCAAGAGACGUCACUACAUUCACUGGUUCGGUUCCAGGCUGUAUCACAUCCGGCCGUGAUUGGGAGUCCCAUAGGACGGCGCACAAUUGGCCCAGCAUCGUCCAGGUUUGGCCGGGGUAGGCCAUCAUUGUAAAUAAGAAUUUGUUCUUAACUGACUUACCUAGUGAAAUAAAAGGUUACAUUUAAAAAAUGUUAAUUAAAUUCUCCAGGCACCACUACUCUCCUGUUAAUGUCACCUCUCACUGACACCUACCCAUGAGGCCCCUCUCUUUCAAUUUACUGUAACCAGCGAACUCACCCAAUGAGCACCGACCGACACCGGUCCAUGGACGUUGAGAAGUAGUUGAAAUUAGUCUUAUGGCUUGGGGGAAGAAAAUGUUAAGAAGCCUCUUGGACCUAGACUUGGCUCCGGUACCACUUGCCAUGCAGUAGCAGAGAGAACAGUCUAUGACUAGGGUGGCUGGAGUCUUUGACAAUUUUUAGGGCCUUCCUCUGACACUGCCUGGUAUAGAGGUCCUGGAUGGCAGGAAGCUUGGCCCCAUUGGUGUACUGGGCCGAGCAGUUGCCAUACCAGGCAGUGAUGCAACCAGUUAGGAUGCUCUUGAUGGUGCAGCUGUAGAACUGUUUGAGGAUCUGAGAACCCAUGCCAAAUCAGUCAAUUGAAAAUAAAUUAAUUAGACCCUAAUGUAAUGGAUUUCACAUGACUGAGAAUACAGAUAUGCAUCAGUUGGUCACAUAUAGCUUUAAAAGGUAGGGGCAUGGAUCAGAAAACCCCUCAGUAUCUGGUGUGACCACUAUUUGCCUCAUGCAGCGCAACACAUCUCCUUCGCAUAGAGUUCAUCAGGCUGUUGAUUGUGGCCUGUGGAAUGUUAUCCCACUCCUCUUCAAGGUCUGUGCGAAGUUGCCGGAUAUUUGUGGGAACUGGUCCACGCUGUUGUACACGUCGAUCCAGAGCAUCCCAAACAUGCUCAAUGGGUGACAUGUCUUAUGAGUAUGCAGGCCAUGGAAGAACUGGGACAUGUACAGAUCCUUGCGACAUCAAAUCAAAGUUGAUUUGUCACGUGCUCCGAAUACAACAGGUAUACAGUGAAAUGGGGCUGUGCAUGAUCAUGCUGAAACAUGAGGGGAUGAUGGGGGAUGAAUGGCAUGACAAUGGACCUCAGGAUCUCGUCACGGUAUUACAAUCGAUAAAAUACAAUUGUGUUUGUUGUCGGUAGCUUAUGCCUGCCCAUACCAUAACCACAACUUCACCAUGGGGCACUCUGUUCAACAUUGACAUCAGAAAACCACUCACCCACACAACGCUAUACAUGUGGUCUGCGGUUGUGAGGCUGGUUGAACGUACUGACAAAAUGUCUAAAACAACGUUGGAGGGGGCUUAUGGUUGAGAAAUGAACAUUCAAUUAUCUAGCAAAGUUGAUCAACAACUGAUGGGCAUUCCUUCAAUCAGUAUGCCAAUUGCACGCUCCCUCAAAACUUGAGACAUCUGUGGCAUUGUGUUGUGUGACAAAACUGCACAUUUUAGAGCGGCCUUCUAUUGUUCCCAGCACAAGGUGCACCUGUGUAAUGAGCAUGCUGUUAAAUCAGCUUCUUGAUAUGCCACAUCUGUCUGGUGGAUGGAUUAUCUUUGCAAAGGAGAAAUGCUCACUAACAGGGAUGUAAUCAAAUUUGUGCACACAAUUUCUGAGAAAUAAGCAUUUUGUGCACAUGGAAUAUUUCUGGGAUCUUUUAUUUCAGCUCAUGAAUCAAACACUUGACAUGUUGAGUUUAUAUUUAUGUUCAGUGUACUCCUUUUGUAUAGAUUUGUACGGUUUGUUUAACUUUGCAAUCAAUGGUUUUUCUUUGGCAUACAUCUAAAUGUGAAAACUUGAGCCUCUGCAUCAUUCUGUUAGCAUGGAAUUGCCCUUCAUCCAUUACACUUAUUAUACCUGACUCCCACUUCUCCUCUUGAGGGUCCCCCCUCUGCUGUCACUGUGCGUCAGACGCCUGGUCGAACUCUCCGUCUGACAAAGGAACAAAAAUACAUCUCAGGCAGAGCCAUAAUAGAGUGGCGAGGAGAAGCUCCGACGACCCUUCGUGCCAGGAAGUAAAAUAGUCAAUCAUUGUAGCCAUUGGCGCUCUGUAGAGUUGCUAUUUUCUCGUGACAGUUAAAUUGUGACAUUCCUGCAUUGCUCAUUAUACUAACAAUGUCUGAAUUAAUCACCAAAUACGGUAGUCAGUUUAAAAAGGUUAAGGGUACAAGACUGUGUACAUAUCUGGCUGUGUUGGCAAAAUCACUAGAUAUCCAGUCGAGCCAAGCGGGGAGAAGAUGCCUGUUGUCACAGUUCCAAGACCAGUCUUAAACGUCCGGUAAUUUACACUAAUUGAUCUCAAAACUGAACUUCGAUCCGCGUUAGCUAGCAGAUAUCCUUCGCCACCGUCGUCAUAUGCCAAAUAUCUCGAACCAAUCAUGACUAUUCAACAAAAUAAAAUGAGAUAUAAUUUUCACGUUUCUUAGUAACAUGAUUGUAUAACUAGCAAAGUUGUUUAGACGUUGAGGCUGCAGUAUUUAUGAAGUUUGGAAAUAAGGACAAACUAGCAUAGUUCAGCUAGCCAGCUUGUUUAGCCAGGGAAAACGAGCUCCGCCCUAGUACACUAGGCUAAUUUAGGAGACUUUAUUCACUGAUAUCAGGAGCUAGAGACAAACGAAUUAAUCAUAUUUGAGGAGCGUGAAUCGAUAUUAUAGAGUGGUGAAGAGGAGUCUACCGAGUAUGGACGCAAUUUCACCAUACAUUUGUUUCUUUAUCAGGGUUCACUCAAAUCGUUUCAAUAUUGACAGUUACAGCUGAUUUCGGGAUUGUAUAUGUUUACAAAAGCAAUAACUGUUUACAU
ensembl:lncRNA